rnacentral:rRNA from 1 species
UGCGGGGGGGGCAAGCGUUGUUCGGAAUUACUGGGCGUAAAGGGCUCGUAGGUGGCCAACUAAGUCAGACGUGAAAUCCCUCGGCUUAACCGGGGAACUGCGUCUGAUACUGGAUGGCUUGAGUUCGGGAGAGGGAUGCGGAAUUCCAGGUGUAGCGGUGAAAUGCGUAGAUAUCUGGAGGAACACCGGUGGCGAAGGCGGCAUCCUGGACCGAUACUGACACUGAGGAGCGAAAGCCAGGGGAGCAAACGGG